CAAUAGCGUAUAUUAAAGUUGUUGCAGUUAGAACGCUCGUAGUCGGAUUUCGGGGCGGGUCGACCGGUCUGCCGAUGGGUACGCACUGGCCGACGCGUCCUUUUUGCCGGAGACCGUCCCUACUCUUAACUGAGCGGGGUCGGGAGACGGCACUUUUACUUUGAAAAAAGCAGAGUGUUUCAAGCAGGCAGCUCGCUCUUGCAUGGAUUAGCAUGGGAUAAUGAAAUAGGACUUUGGUGCUAUUUUGUUGGUUUCGAACACCGAAGUAAUGAUGAGAAGGGACAGUCAGGGGCACUCGUAUUCCGCCGAGAGAGGUGAAAUUCUCAGACCAGCGGAAGACGAACCACUGCGAAAGCAUUUGCCAGGGAUGUUUUCACUGA
rnacentral:rRNA from 1 species